CUGACAGGAAAUUUGCCCAUAGAUUUUCCAUCUUGGUGAGGACUGUGUUAAAAACUGGUUCCUAGCUUGAGUUGGCUUGGCAUGACAAAGCAGUAUAACUAUGUUUUUAUCAAUUACCAGUAGGAGCCAAUGAACGGAGUAGGUUCGGAUUUCCGACCGAACAAGGGAGAGAGGAGGUUAAAGAUCAACAAUUGGAUUGUUAAAAUAUUAGUCAUAUAAAAAUAUAAAAG
rnacentral:lncRNA from 1 species